rnacentral:rRNA from 1 species
GACAAACGCUGGCGGCGUGCCUAACACAUUCAAGUCGAACGGAGUUGUUUGAAUUAAUCCUUCGGGAAGCGUUUAAACAACUUAGUGGCGGACGGGUGAGUAACGCGUGAGCAACCUGCCUUACAGAGGGGGAUAACACAGGGAAACUUGUGCUAAUACCGCAUGACAUAUACGUACCGCAUGAUAUGUAUAUCAAAGGAGCAAUCCGCUGUAAGAUGGGCUCGCGUCCGAUUAGGUAGUUGGUGAGGUAACGGCUCACCAAGCCUACGAUCGGUAGCCGGACUGAGAGGUCGAACGGCCACAUUGGAACUGAGAAACGGUCCAGACUCCUACGGGAGGCAGCAGUGGGGAAUAUUGGGCAAUGGGCGAAAGCCUGACCCAGCAACGCCGCGUGAAGGAAGAAGGUCUUCGGAUUGUAAACUUCUUUAGUAGGGACGAAGAACGUGACGGUACCUACAGAAAAAGCAACGGCUAACUACGUG